GAGAGCAGAGUCGAGAGGGUGCAAUAGCCAUAGCAACUCUCUGAACAGAGCCUACAAUGCUUCGUACAUAUUGGCGAGCCAUAGCAGCUACAUUUUCUCGAUAGUGAUUCUCAAAGGCAAACUGGAAUGCAAUUGUCAAGACUGAACGAUGGUUGUAACUGCUUCCUUCAACUUCACCAGCUGGCCGUGUCCCACCAGUUCUAGCUUCAAGAGUUGAA
rnacentral:misc_RNA from 1 species